UACGUAGGGUGCGAGCGUUGUCCGGAAUUAUUGGGCGUAAAGGGCUCGUAGGCGGUUUGUCGCGUCGGGAGUGAAAUCAUCUGGCUUAACUGGGUGCUUGCUUUCGAUACGGGCAGACUAGAGGUAUGCAGGGGAGAGCGGAAUUCCUGGUGUAGCGGUGAAAUGCGCAGAUAUCAGGAGGAACACCGGUGGCGAAGGCGGUUCUCUGGGCAUGAUCUGACGCUGAGGAGCGAAAGUGUGGGGAGCGAACAGG
rnacentral:rRNA from 1 species